rnacentral:rRNA from 1 species
UACGUAGGGGAGCAAGCGUUGUUCGGAUUUACUGGGCGUAAAGGGCGCGUAGGCGGCAAUUCAAGUCAUCUGUGAAAUCUCCGGGCUUAACUCGGAACUGUCAGAUGAUACUGCUUUGCUAGAGUGCAGAAGGGGCAAUCGGAAUUCUUGGUGUAGCGGUGAAAUGCGUAGAUAUCAAGAGGAACACCUGAGGUGAAGGCGGGUCUCUGGGCAGUAACUGACGCUGAGGAGCGAAAGCGUGGGGAGCGAACAGG